GUGCUAUGCAUGCACACACGCCAGGGGACAUUUUCUUAGCACUUUGGCAUGCCAAGACAAUGACCUGUGUGCAUCAGUCACUCAACACGAUUAUGUGCUGUUAUCUCUCCCAAUUUCCUAAUAUUAGAGGAUGUCAUAGCUACCAAUUGCACGUCUGUUCUUAUAUACAGAGUACACACACAAAGCUUUUCCUGUAUAGAAGCAGUUAACAACCAUUAAAUAUAUGAUUAAGGCAAUUUCAUUUUUCUUGAUGAAACGUACAGGGGUAAUGAAUGGAUUAUAUCAAUGAUAAAAUGAAGUGAGAUUUAAAUUCGAAGGCAUAGAGAUAAAG
rnacentral:lncRNA from 1 species